CUUUGCAUUUUGCCAUAGCUGGAGCCACUCAAAGCUCUGAACACCCCAAACGCCUCCAUCAAUCGAAUUUUCUUUUCAAUUGGGCGCUAACUCCCGAGAAUUUCCGGAAAAACCAUGGCCGCCGACACUCUGCCGUACCAAAACGGCGUCGUCUCCAACGGAGAUCUGGCCACUAACCCUAGCUCCAACAACACCAACGCUAAGAAGUCACGGGACAGCGAAAGGCGCCGUCGCAGGCGCAAGCAGAAGAAGAACAACAAGGCUGCUUCUCAGGCUCUCGAUGCCACCGCUAGCGGCAAUGAAAGUGAAGAUGACGCCGCUGCUGAUGCUAACGGCGACGAUGCUAAGGAUAACGCUGAUCAUCAACAGGUCUUGGAGCAAGUGGAAGUUGAGUAUGUCCCAGAAAAGGCAGAGUUGGGAGAUGGUUUUGAUGACGAAUUCAGGAAGAUCUUUGAGAAAUUUAAUUUCCAUGAAAUU
rnacentral:misc_RNA from 1 species